AGCUCCAAUAGCGUAUACUAAAGUUGUUGCAGUUAAAAAGCUCGUAGUUGAAUUUCUGGUCGUGGCGAUCGGUCCGCCCCUCACGGGGUGUGCACCUGGUCUCUACGUCCAUCCUCGGGGAGAGCGCGCCUGGCAUUCAGUUGUCGGGCGUGGGAUCCUCGUCAUUUACUGUGAGCAAAAUAGAGUGUUCAAAGCAGGCUUAGGCCGUUGAAUACAUUAGCAUGGAAUAAUAAGAUAGGACCUUGGUCUAUUUUGUUGGUUUGCAUUCCAAGGUAAUGAUUAAUAGGGAUAGUUGGGGGUAUUCGUAUUCAAUUGUCAGAGGUGAAAUUCUUGGAUUUAUGGAAGACGAACUACUGCGAAAGCAUUUACCAAGGAUGUUUUCAUUAAUCAAGAACGAAAG
rnacentral:rRNA from 1 species